rnacentral:rRNA from 1 species
AUUGAACGCUGGCGGCAGGCCUAAAACAUGCAAGUCGAACGAGUGGCGGACGGGUGAGUAAUGUCUGGGAAACUGCCUGAUGGAGGGGGAUAACUACUGGAAACGGUAGCUAAUACCGCAUACCAUCAGAUGUGCCCAGAUGGGAUUAGCGAGUUGGUGGGGUAACGGCUCACCAAGGCGACGAUCCCUCGCUGGUCUGCGAGGAUGACGAGCCACACUGGAACUGGGCCACGGGCCCGACUCCUACGGGAGGCAGCAGUGGGGAAUAUUGCACAAUGGGCGAAAGCCUGAUGCAGCCAUGCCGCUUGUAUGAAGAAGGCCUUCGGGUUGUAAAGUACUUUCAGCGGGGAGGCGUUACCCGCAGAAGAAGCAACGGCUAACUCCGUGCCAGCAGCCGCGGUAAUUC